rnacentral:rRNA from 1 species
GUGGGGAAUAUUGGACAAUGGGCGAAAGCCUGAUCCAGCCAUGCCGCGUGUGUGAAGAAGGUCUUCGGAUUGUAAAGCACUUUAAGUUGGGAGGAAGGGCAGUAAGUUAAUACCUUGCUGUUUUGACGUUACCGACAGAAUAAGCACCGGCUAACUUCGUGCCAGCAGCCGCGGUAAUACGAAGGGUGCAAGCGUUAAUCGGAAUUACUGGGCGUAAAGCGCGCGUAGGUGGGUUUGUAAGUUGGAGGUGAAAUCCCCGGGCUCAACCUGGGAACUGCCUCCAAAACUGCAUGACUAGAGUACGGUAGAGGGUAGUGGAAUUUCCUGUGUAGCGGUGAAAUGCGUAGAUAUAGGAAGGAACACCAGUGGCGAAGGCGACUACCUGGACUGAUACUGACACUGAGGUGCGAAAGCGUGGGGAGCAAACAGGAUUAGAUACCCGAGUAGUCC